GCGGCUGCCGCAGGGCAAGGGUGGGCUAAGGGAAAGUGGCGUGGAGGCCGCUGAUGGAAUGUUUUCAUUUUAGUUCAUUUCAGUUGCAAUAGAAGCCUUGACACCACAGAAUCCAAAACCUAUGGUUCGCGCGGCCUGAGGGCGGGGCGGUCGAAAGUAGAUAAAAGGUCUAUCAGAAACAGCAAUACUGUGCAGUUCCUCGUUAGUAUAGUGUGAAACACCGUGAACAACUAAGAAACGAAUUAUGAAAUGUGCGCUGGCCACAAUGGCAAUAGAACCAUAGUCAGUCUGGCUCAGCUCCGCCUACUGUAAAAGGCAAAGGAGGGUUGAAAGAUGCCUGGCAAUUUACUUUUAAACAACUUUUAAGAAGACCUGAGAAAUGAGAAACAACGUGUCAACGUGUCAGCAAAGCAGGCCACACCAGCCUAAUCCCCGAAAAGGGACUGGAACAUUGCAAACACUGCAAAUUUUGUAAGACAGGAAAAUUCAGCUCUCCUACCACUUCCCUAAAAGAGGACGAAGACUUCUCAUUUUCUUCUCUUGCUUCACGCAGACUUUCUGCAAACACUCAGGAAAACUUGCAGAUAGUUGAGAACCCUGGUUUGCUUAGAUUUGACAUGGAAAGCUCUGCCAGUACAUCUGGAUUUCUCACUUGGACGUUCUUCAAGAUCAGGUGUCAGUUGAUCAUCUGAGGGGAGACACUGAGCAAGUUGGACGUGUGAGAACUGAAAGUCUCUGCGUGUUCAAGAGUUUCAAGAUGACUUCACCGAUUAGAAUGUGGUGACGGUAGUGAGGAGGAAUGUUGCAGAUCCAGCGGUCAGUUAUCUUGGACUUUCUUUAGCCUGUUUCAGCGACUGCUUACUGUCAAAUCCUGUAUCUGGUGUAGCAUUUUUUUGUGACUACUAGACAAAAUUCUUUGAAUGUAUCUGAAGACUGCUGGGCCUCUGGCCUCGAUAACAUCUUGAUCCUAGGAAGGUUUUUGUGUUUGCUAAGCUUGGGGACAUGUGAUUGUCAACAGCACUUCCAGGGAGCUGAGACAGGGGGAUUGCAAGUUGACAGACAAAAUGUCUGUCUCAAAAAUAAGUAAAUGGGACUGGAGAGAUGGCUCAGCAGUUACGAGCACUUCCAGAGGACCCAGGUUUGAUCCCCGGCACCCACAUGGUAGCCCACAAGCGUCUGUAAUUCCACUUCCAAGGAGCCUGCACCCUCUUCUGGCCUCUGAGGGCACCAGGCAUGCAAGUGGUACACAGGCAUGUAUGCGCUCAGACACAUAUAAGUAAGAAAUAAGUAAGUGCAGGCAGAAACAAACAAGAAAGGUCCCCUGCUUUAAGAACCUCUGAAUCCUACAGAAGAAAAGUUCCCUGCUUCACUGUGGUCACCCCACGCAACGGUCUCACCCACUUUCUUCGUGGAACCUGUAUGGCUUCCACGACUUCUUCCAUGGAAGAAACAUCAUUCGUAACCCAAGUUCGUGUUCUAGAGAAUGGUCACUCAUAUUCCCUGAGAAUAAACCAUUUUCUUAUUUCA